ACUUAAUUUUUAAAUACUUCAAAAAUACAGUAGAAAAACAAAAACUGCAUUUUAAAACAACGCUAUUAUUAAAUGUUUCUCAUCUUUAAGCUAUCGGUGAAAAAAGCGCAGUAUUAGUAACAAUAAAGGCAAUAAAGAAUUGAAACUCGUGCACACGAAACGUAAGAAGCAAAUAUGAUCAUCAAAAAGGAAGGAAGGGAAGCGUGGGAAGUUUUAUCAUUAGAACAUAUCCUGGUUAUGAUAGUAAAAUAUCAUUGGUUUUUCGUUACUCGCUGGUUGUUUCUUUAUCAUUCCUUUUUUCUCUGUUCUUUUGAUCUAGAAUGAAAUGUACAUAUCGUAUAUACUAUUCAAUCAAUUAUGCGUUGCUAUAACGAAACAUUUUACACAUAACAAAAUUGUAAUAUUAUAUUUAUACUAUGUAUUUGCACUUGUAUGUUGUGAAAUACAUUCAAUAUCAAAAACCUACAUGAGCGGCGCAGGGAUAGGUCGUCAUACUUUCAACUUAUUGCGAUGCACUAUAAAACAGCGUCAAAAUAUUCAAAAAUACAAAUUGUUUAAGCAGUUCCAAGAAAUUCUAUACGAACAUCUCAAAAAGAUAUUGUUUUUGUUUGUUGAAUUAACAUUUUCAACAUUAGUAUUCAUAAAUUUAAAAUUCUUAACCAAUAAAGAAGGAUCAUGAGAUGUUUGAGUCACGAUCAGGAAUGAAAGUUUCGCGGACAUUUGUAUAGUCUAAAUGUGACCAUAUCAAUGAAUUUUUAGACCCAAGAAUAAAUCUGGUUUCCCUAGAGAAAAUGGUGGCCGAGAGGAAACAAUCCCUACCGCCCGACAUUGUUGUGUGCUGUCAUUCGUUGCCAACUUAAUUCUGUAUGAACUGUUGCGUUUGCCGUCCGCGGUCUAGGGAUUUUGGCUCGCGCGAACUGGUGCGUAAGGAAUACAAAAUUAGUCUGAUCGUUCUGCGCUUGGCGGAGGAGAUCUUCGGGUGAUGCGGAUCGAUGCCCCUUCCUCGCUGGAUCCUGGAUCCUCCCUCAGGAUCAUCCCUUGUCCAAUGGUGGAGGAGUCCACCCCCGUCCGAUGUGGGCCCCUUCUCCUGGCUGUGGUCCACCCUCAGCCGCGUGGUGGUGGAGGCUCCGCCAAGACGCGGGAACGUAACAUUGAACAUGUGCGUAGAGAAAGCGUGAGACCCAGAGAACGCGAAAACAAAGUCCUUGUAUUAGGCGAAAAUUUACGACCCUCUUCGAGUGCAUGAAAAGACAGGAUAUUCGUGAGAGAUCUUGAAACCUUCAAGAACUGUACGCGACUUAGUCGAAAACAACAUAUUCGAUACGGUCCCUAAUAAAUUAAUCUCUACAAACAUUCAAAGUGAAGCUACGUUUAUUCUCUGGAUUCCCAAACUUUCCCAAGCAUGAACACCCACGUCGAGUGGCUUUAACAAUAUAAGCUUUGUCUAUUGUACAUGAUCGCACGCUCAGAUAGUUUAAAUUUCGCUCUUAAUUUAUGGUCAUCGAUAUAACAAAGUACAGACGCGCUCUGUAAAUAUCCUCACGGUCGUGUUGCCAUACUACAAUGACUAUAUUCAGGAUGAUAACAAGUACUUACGCUCGCGUUACACCUCCCCCCUUAUUUAAAAAGGUGUUUUCAUAAAACAACUUUUCUAUAUCCAUACGCCUUAAUAGUAGUUGCAUAUACAAUAUUAACAUUAUGUGGUGCUUUUCUCAUACAAGGUUCAUACAAAAGGUGAGCAAACAGUUAAGUCUAUUUAACAUCCAAGGUAUCUUAUUACAUACGUGUCACAAAUACGAGCAACGAGAUGCUUAACAGUCUCCAAUUAUCAUACAAGUUGCAACGAACAUAACCAUACUAGUUUAAGCAGAUCCGUGUACAUAGUGACAGAGUCUAGAGUCUAGACUAUAUUUAGCAGUAUUUCAAUUACGCGAAUACAAUAUGAGCACAUGUGUACAAAGAUAUGAACGGAGUAGCAAACUUUAUUAAUUUAAUCUGAAUUUCCGUCAGUGAUAACCUCUGGUCUAAUAUGCGCUAAUUUGAGUUUGUUUGCAUGAACAAUCUUAAAUUUAUUUUUCCCUAUUUCUAAUUCCAUAGUUAAAUCAUCAAACUUCCGAUUUAUUUUGUAAGGACCAAGCCAAUCACAGUCAAAUUUUGAGAUUUUGUGCAGCGAUGGUCUGUGUGGUGGUGAUUCUGGCGAGAAGAUCAUCAAAAUAUUGUACGAAUGUUCGAGAUGCUGGUCUCGUGGCAAAUUCCGAGGGUAUGUUGGCCUUGGUGCCAAAGACUAAUUCGUGUGGAGAGAACCCAGUGGCUUCAUGCACUGAGGUGUUAUACGAAAAGAUGCAGAACCUCACCCAGUCAUCCCAGUCUGUUUUCAUGCAAUAUAUCUUUAGGUAAUUAAUAAGACUGCGGUGUGCCCUUUCGAGCGAACCUAAUGAUUGGGGAUGAAACGCUGUGGAAGUUAUAGUUUGGAUUUUGAAGAUUUUACAGAAGUGUUUCAUUAUUCGACUAACAAAGUUUCUUCCCUGAUCUGUGUGUAUGACUCUCGGGCAACCAAAUCUACUGAUAAAUUGCUCAGCAAGUGCAAGGGCAAUCGUUACUGCAUCCAUGGAUUUUAUGGGAAUUGCAUCUGAAUAUUUCGUAAGGUUGUCCUGUAUAGUAAGCAGAUAUUGAUUUCCUUUGGAAGUUCUGGGUUGAACAGGAUCGGACAAAUUCCAUGAUUUCUUUUGCCAUGCCUAGCCAAUAAAAUCGUUGCCGGAGGAGCUGGAGUAAUUUAAAGAUACCUCUGUGGCCUCCAACCACAGAUUCAUGGUAUUCUUGGAUAAUACGAAGACGACUCGACUCAGGUGGGAUAAUAACUUCUUCGGUGCACACGGUGAUUCUAUAUUUAGGAUCAGCAAAGGUGGCAAGAAGGGAUUUGAGGGACUUCAAUGAAGAUUCGACGUGUCCAAGAUCAAAUUCGCUUUGGGAUUCACUCUUGUAAAAUAAGAGGAAGACAGAGUAUCUAUCAUGAGGAAAGGCCAUGGCGUUACUGACUUCAAUUUGGUACUGUUGGAUCUGUUCGGGGGAACAUUCGAUUCUGCUUAGCAAGCCUUUGGUGGUUUGGGAAUUAUCGUCACCGGUUAAUGGGAUAAAAUGGGCGAGAUUAUCUCGUCGCACGAAAAGAUUCUCAUCUACACAAACUACAGCGGGUGGAGCAGGGAAAGGUAUUUCUGUCAGGGUUAUUCCUCUACAAGGUUUCCUUGCACAAAUCAGAUCGCCAGCCACAACAUUCACACUCUCAAUACAACUCAACUCUUCCACGUGCCCACCUGACUUUACCGUCCGAGGUGGUAGUUUCACGUGUCCACUCGAAUCUCCUGUUCGCAGUGGUCUCAUCGGCAGUUCACCCAACAACGCAGGACGGGGUGACGCCGGCAUCGCACACUCACCCGAAUCCCCUGUUUGGUGUGACGGCGGAACCAUACACUCCAUGGGAUCACUAUUCAUUCGUGGCGACCUUGAUUGCGCCUCAGACACACAGCAAUAGCCGAUACAGAACUGUCGUCGACGAUACAAUUCAUCCUGAUGACACACUCAUUCUUUACUCCGAAGAAACGUCUCAUUGGAAGGGGAAUUGCAUUUGUACACAACACAUGAACAGUCAUAACCUGCCUCACUAUUUCGAUUUUUAUUUUCAUAAUACGUAAUUAAUAUUGUACGUGAUUAGGAUCUCUAUUACAUGUAUUAAAUAUUAUUGUACAUGUAUACUAUUAAUUGCAGAUGUUUUAUAUCUUGUAAAUAACAAUUAUUUAAAAACA